rnacentral:rRNA from 1 species
GAUGAACGCUAGCUACAGGCUUAACACAUGCAAGUCGAGGGGCAGCAUGGUCUUAGCUUGCUAAGGCCGAUGGCGACCGGCGCACGGGUGAGUAACACGUAUCCAACCUGCCGUCUACUCUUGGACAGCCUUCUGAAAGGAAGAUUAAUACAAGAUGGCAUCAUGAGUCCGCAUGUUCACAUGAUUAAAGGUAUUCCGGUAGACGAUGGGGAUGCGUUCCAUUAGAUAGUAGGCGGGGUAACGGCCCACCGAGGCGUCGAUGGAUAGGGGUUCUGAGAGGAAGGUCCCCCACAUUGGAACUGAGACACGGUCCAA